rnacentral:lncRNA from 1 species
UAACCGUACCAACACUUCCUCCCCACCAAGCACACAGCAGCACCACAACACCAGCGACCCCAGCAGCACCAACGACCACCAACCCCAUCUGCGACCCCUCUUGUUUUAACCUCAAGCUGUUAGCUCUUUGUUCUCCCUUCAUUCUCAGUAACACUGCUGCCCGCCGGAGUUCAGCCUAAAACGUUUAGAUCCGGCAGUGAAGUGUUAAACUCCAGUGGACCUCUUUCUUCUCUGUCUUCUUAUAGUCAUUCGUGUAUAUAUGUAAGAAACUGAUAUCCAAAAAUGGGGGUUGAGUUUGGCCAGAAUUGUGGUAAAAUUUCAAACGAGGUCGUCGUUCAUGGGUCCCUGGUGCCGAUUCGAAUUCCUUUCGUGGUUGAGUUCAAAUUAACCUCGUAAUUAAUUUUCUGAUUCAUUUCGAGGUUUGUUUCUCAUUUUCUAUACUCUAUUUUGCUUAAUAUCAAGACCUCAUUGUUUCAUUAGUUUAGCCUUGCUCUGUUUGGUUGAAUAUUUGCUUACUUCAUUUAGUUGUCGACUAUUAACACCAUGGUUCAUUGAUUAUUGCAAGGGAUUAAUUUAGCAUAGCUAAGUUGAUUGGCUUGAGUUUUCGUUGCUUUGAAUAUGGGGAAUCUGGACAUCUAGAAUGGAAAAAAUUAAAAUUUUCAUUUUAAUUUUUACUUUACUUAACGCUAGCGCUAGUAACAUGCUUUAGGCCGACAACACUUGGGUAGGCGAGCCUUAAGACUUUUGAUUGUUUUACUUUACUCGACGCUAGAGCGAAAUUCACUAGAACUAGAAGGAGUGAAUAGCUACAAUUGCUUUAGUGAGUGCCGACAACACUUGGGUAGGCGAGCCUUAAGACUUUUGAUAGUUUCGAGGAGAAAGGUCGUUCCCUUAGUUGUAUUUAUCUGGGGAAUACCCCGAAGGGCUUGUGUAUAUUUUAUUCCGGGGAAUGCCCCGAAGUAAAUGUAAUUGGAGGCCAUGGUGAACAUCGUAGAAGAGAUAGCGUAGGAUAAUCUAGAACUUUAAUUUUUCUUCUUUUAAUUUUCUUUCAUUUAAAUGGGGACGACCUAGAGCCUCUUGUGUGUUUACUUUUCUUUUUCUGUGUUUGUUUUACCUAAAUUUGAAUAUUCUAAAAGCCAACUAGAUCGAAUACGCAACCGUGAUAUUCGUGGGACUUGGGGGGUGCCUAACACCUUCUCCCCGAGUCAAAUGAACUCCCUUACCUGAAUCUCUAGUGUAGACUUAGUUUUAGAGUCUCAAGUGUUUGAAAGGAAAAAUUAUUUUCUUUUUAAAAAAAAUGGUGACCUGGCACGCCGAAAUCAAUGUCAGGUGGCGACUCUGAUUUUAUUUCCUUUUGAACAUAGGUUGCAUUGCUUUACUUUUCUUGGAAUCUUACGUACGUAUCAAUGGUGUUGGUGUUACUAUCUACCGUAAUAGCUGAAAUUUCACUUGAACCAGCAUCACUUACUCUACUUGUAUCUGCCAUCUAUACAAAAUUAAACAAAUAUAAACACAAAUUAACAAUCCAACCUAGUUCAAAACCAAUACAACAACAACAACAACCCAGUAUAAUCCCACUUAGUAGGGUCUGGGGAGGGUAGUAGAGAGGUUGUUUCCAAGAUCACUUAUUCAAAACCAAAUUUAUUGCUUUUUAUGACUUUAUAGGCUAAAAUUUGUGAUUAGUUAACUAAUAUGGACAAAAAGAAGCUAAAAUAAGAAAAGCACUGUUUAUAAUAUAAAUAUUGUGUCAACAAGCACAUGAAACGAAACUAAAGUAAGUGAUCAAAUGUAUGCCACCAACACUCCAACGAUACAAAAAAAAUAAAAUACAUCAUCACGACUAAUUCCGUUUUCCAUUAAUUUGAACUUAAUAUGAUCAUUCCUUAAAUGUGGUAGAGGAAAUAAUAGGGCUAGGAACUUAAGGUAAAGAAAAGGAUAUUAUAAAAUAAGGGUAAAUUUUUUUUUAUAAAAAUUAGUGUAUCUUAUCGGUUUAUCGACAAACCGAUAAACUGAAAAAGACAGAAUCGAAAUCGAAAUCGAUAAAUCGAUAAACCGAUAACAAAUAAUAGAUUUUUUAGCGAUAGACUGAUUCGAAUUCACACCCCUAAGAAAAUCUCUAGUUCUGAUACAGCCAAAGAAAUGCGGGAUAAACUUGAAGUUACUUGUGAAUGAACUAGUAAAGUGAAAGAGCCCCACAUAAACAUGUUGGUUCAUGACUACAAACUUUUUCAGAUGAAAGAAGGAGAAUCUAUUGAAGAAAUGUUUGCCAUGUUCAGCAAAAUCAUUAGCGAUCUAAAAGCUUUUGGUAAACCAUAUUUAAGCGGUGAUCAAGUUCAAAAAAUUUUGAGAAGUCUACCUACCACUUGGUAGACAAAAGUAGUUGCACUUCAAUCACAAGAUCUGAAAAACUGUCUUGUGAUGAACUUCGUAGAGACCUUAUGGCAUUAGAGAAAACUACCCUCAAGAAAACAAGCCAGGAAGAAAAGAAGAAAACAAUUGUUUUCAAGGCUACAACUGAAGGGGCAGACAAUGAUAUUGAUGAUGACCCUGAAGCUCUUGAAGAAGAAAUUGCCAUGGUAUCAAGGAACAUGGAUGAUUUAAUGAGGAGAUACAGAAUCACAAAAAGAGGCAGGGUACCACCCAAGCGAAGCAUGCAAUAUUAUGAACAAGACAAGAAUGAUUGUAAAUAUUAUGAGUGUGGAAGAUAUGUGCAUGUUCAAGCUAAUUGACUAGAUCUUAAAAAAAAGUUUCCGGAGGAUUUAAGAAAAAACAAAUCAUUUGAAAGCUGGAGUGAUUAAGACAGUUCAGAACACAAAAAGAUAGCAAAUCUAUGGUUCAUGGCAAUCCUGGAAAAUGACACAAACAAGCUCUCGGGGUGCUAGACAUAUGAGGAUACAUCAGACGACGAAUGCAAAGACAAUAAUGAGAAAUGUUUCAUCGCACGAGGUGAAACAAGCGAGGUAAGAUCUUACAAUUAUGAAAGAUAUAUCAAAAGAAAUUAAUUUCUUUUCUCCAAAGUUACCCUUGGAGCUUGUUAUAUUUUCAAGAAAUAAAUUAAGAUUAAUAUGGUUAAUUUUUAAUGAUAAAAGAUGGAUUUCUUAAUAUGCAUAAAAACAACCAAAAAUCACUUAAAGUGGACAGGAGUGAGUAAUACGUUAAUUGCCUUCUUACAAGCUACCUACAAUAAGCUUAUUGAUUCCUUCUUUUUGUUACCAGGGUUAACCCCCAAGCCAUAAUGUCUCAAAAUGGACAGCAUAGAGAAACCCUCAUGCAUGUCAUGAAGACUAUGACUAUGUCUUAGGACCUCCCAUUUAUGAGAAAUCAGAUAUCAAGUCUAAAGAAUGACAACAUAACAAAAACUUCAUUGCUGUAAUGAGAACUAAGGACCUUCUAUUAUUGUAUCAUUUAGGGAAAAUUGGGCUCCAGGUCAUGACGCCUCCUGGGAGACAUUGGAAUUGACAUUUUCUGGUUUCUGUCACAAGGCAAAAAAAGAGAAUUUUACAACAUAAAGUUCCUAUACUAAACUGGUGCCUCUCCACUCUUUAAUUUGAUAAUAACAUGCACGCUAUAACAUGUUUGAAGCAUGAAUCAAUGGGAAGAGAAUUAUUUCUAAUGAGUAGAAAAUGAUCUUUCUAGUGUCAAUUGGGCAAAUGUCUGAUGAAAAGGUCUUAGCAACUAAUAAGGGAUCGCUGGAGAAGGUAUGCCUUUGGGAUUUUACUCUUCAUCUAGAUGGUCAAAGAGUUCUCUCCAAUGAGACGCGGCUUCUUCUGGGGUUCGAAAUGACCACAGGUGAGGCUUUGCUUUCUCACGUGUUUCCAAAAUUUCCUGCUUCACAAGAUCUAAUGGUGAGUAUGACAAACAAAACCAACAAAAUAGUACAGGAAGCAGUAGUUACUUUACGAGGAUACGUAGGAAAAGCAAGCAGAGGUACAACUAAAUUACCACAUGACACAUUUUGUAUCCACUUAUUUUAGAAAAAAACUUCUGCAUCAACUAACCACAUCUUCAGAAAAGCAUCCAACCAAAAAGAUAACUUUUGUAGCUCAGCAACCCCAUUUAGAAGCAAAUACCAUAGCAUAACUGCCUCGGUCAAGAAUAUGGUUGGCGAAUGAAAUACCGAUUCUUUUAUCAAUCAGAUUCACAACUGUGGAUGGGUUUGAUUGUUAUCCCACAGAUUUGCGGCACAAUGAGCGUAAAUGGUUACUACUUAGAUUUGAAGCACACUAAGUGUCCUGCACUAUGCGGGAUAACUGUUUAGCAUGGAUAUCAAAAUCAAAGGACAAGCCUACUACCUAGGAGCUGUAGUUAGAUGCUUUUUUUUGCAGUAUUUAACAUAUCAAAGACCUAUAUUUCUUUGACGACUUUGAAGACCUAGAUCGAUUUGGUUUUUGCCAAAAUACAAGCAUGGCACUUGAGUAACUGACUUCCAGUAUGGUUCUCAAAGACUAACCAGAAAUUUUUUUAUUCUUUAUAACUGAGCCAAAUGUCAUGCAAGUCAAAUUUCUUGAUAUCAUGAAAACACCGACUGAAAAAUCUUAAACCGAAAUGAGAGAUGGAAUAAGGUUUAGGGAAAAAAUGAGCUAAAACUUCAGCAUCUGGGGCAAAAAGAGGAGGUAACGAGUCCACCAAAGGUAAUCUAGUGUUGUACCUCCUUCAGUCAUUUGCUAACAUGAUUAAGCUUCUAAGCCAGUCAACCAAUUGCAAUUCAACUUGCAAAUAGAAGCAGAUUUGCUGUACUGUAAAUUGCAUUUAAUAUUCUCAAGAGAGUGGAAAGUUCUAGGAUAACAUGCCACAAUAUAAGUACUUUUUUUUAAUCCCAGGGCAAGCACAUAAAAAGUUGAACAUGAGUAUACCAAAAAAGCAGUUUAGUAUAGCAGCAACGAUGCAUGCUGAAGCAAAGAAUGUAAAACCAGAGUUGUGAAGCAAACUUCAGAUGAGAAAGAAAGAACUAUACGAAAAAGGGUGAAUAAGUGAGGCAUCACCUCUCGUUUGGCAAAACUAAAUUAACCUUCCCAUAGUUUGUGAAACAUCUAAGACUUACCCUCUAGUUUAAUGUCAUUACUAAGAUCUCCUUUACUGCCAAUCUCCAGAAUUCAAACAAUUAAAUGCACAUAUAAGCAUAUUAGAAUUGUUUUCGAUUUCAUCCUCCGACAUGAUUUUAUUUCUCUAAAACAAUAAUAAAGUCAAAAAGGAAAGGUGCACAUUAGAAAACCUUGUAUCCUAGACCUUCCCCAUUUGAAAAGUUUCUGCUUAGUAUACCUCUUCUUCAGACAUACAAUUUUUCUAAUCAAAGAGUUGAUAAUUUGGAGAAGCCUCAGAUUCAACAGCCAAAGCAUCUAAACAAAGGAAGUUACAUUCCUCAUCUAUACGUACCUUUUUCUCAUCUCUAUUUAAAGCCUCCUGUUUUUUUUACUGGUUCAAAAUCGUACAUCAUAUAUCACGAAUUUUUUAUGCUGAUUUUAUUUUUCAAUCUACGCUAUUUUUAUUUGGGGGGGGGGNNNNNNNNNNNNNNNNNNNNNNNNNNNNNNNNNNNNNNNNNNNNNNNNNNNNNNNNNNNNNNNNNNNNNNNNNNNNNNNNNNNNNNNNNNNNNNNNNNNNNNNNNNNNNNNNNNNNNNNNNNNNNNNNNNNNNNNNNNNNNNNNNNNNNNNNNNNNNNNNNNNNNNNNNNNNNNNNNNNNNNNNNNNNNNNNNNNNNNNNNNNNNNNNNNNNNNNNNNNNNNNNNNNNNNNNNNNNNNNNNNNNNNNNNNNNNNNNNNNNNNNNNNNNNNNNNNNNNGGGGGGGGAGAUGUGGGGGAAGGAGAUAGACCAGAGAAACAAAUAAGUAUGAAAAUGUUUGUUACGAGUCCCGAUGCAUGCGGCUUGAAUGAAAAGUUUACAGAAUUGAAUCUUGUAGGUUAAACGUCUGCAGCAUCACCACGUACAUUUGUAGUGACAACUCAUGAAGAAGAAAGUUUUCACCAGCUUACCCCAUAUGAAUUCUCCACACGUUUACAGCUUCAAUGAAUUUUCCCAAGUCAAAACGGAAGAGAGGAGAGGAGGCAGGGAGGAGUUACUGAUUGUGGACUAAGUUAGCUUCAGUCAAAUCCGCAAAGGGGAGGUAAUCAUCUAGACACCAGAUGUUAUACGUGCGGAAAGAAGAUGGAAGACACAGACCAUCUAUUCUAUGUUGCUAGAUUGCUAGUCAAUUGUGAAACCGAUUUCUAAACCUUUAAAAUUGACAAUGCCAAAGACAGCCAAUAGCAUCUAGACAGGCAGGAACAGAGUGUCAGGGAGCAAAUGAAACAAGGAAAGUUGAAGCAUACAGGACAGUAUUUGCGCAAGUAAUUUUUUGGGUUGUUUGGAAGGAGAGAAUCAAGCAGUCCUUUGAACAUAAAGCAGUUUCAAAUACAUAUGCUUGUAUCUGUUGGUUGUUUUGCUGUACAAUGAACAAUGUUCAUAAAAGUCUUUAUUUGACUUUAUCAAUUCCCAACCUCAAUAAGGAAUUGGGCUUCCCCACUGUAUAUAGC